UACAGAGGUGGCAAGCGUUGUUCGGAAUUAUUGGGCGUAAAGGGCUCGUAGGCGGUUUGUCGCGUCGGGAGUGAAAACUCAGGGCUCAACCCUGAGCGUGCUUCCGAUACGGGCAGACUAGAGGUAUGCAGGGGAGAACGGAAUUCCUGGUGUAGCGGUGGAAUGCGCAGAUAUCAGGAGGAACACCGGUGGCGAAGGCAGAUCUCUGGGCCGUAACUGACGCUGAGGAGCGAAAGCAUGGGGAGCGAACAGG
rnacentral:rRNA from 1 species